UGUGUAAUACAACUUUUAAAAAAUGCGGUUAUUUUGAUCACUUUUAACUGUCGCGAGACCUUGUCAAACGCGAAACGUUGCAACAGAUGCGAAACAUAUUGAUCGAACACUUGCGUCUAACGCAUGUUUACUUAAAAACAGGAGAUGGAAAACGCUUUCUAUGUGAAUGGCUCACUAUAAUAUCGUGAUAAAUAUUGACGAUAAUUAGCCUAACAUUUUAUCCAUGUACUCUCCGAUACAGCGAACCUCUUAUGUUUACCAGUCGAGCGCGUUACGUACUCCCAAGCGUACGUUUAGCUCACUUUACUGACUUAUGAAUUUGUGUAGUUACUGAAAAGUUAUAAUACAAUGUCGUAACUUAAUUUUAAAGCAUUUUACGACCUCCCCACCUUAAUUAGCACGUCGAAAUGGUUUACAAAACAUUUUAUUUUCGUACUACUUUUUAAACGUGUCUUUGCGGCUUGAUUCUACUUACCAGAAGGUGCAAUCAGCUGAGAACAUCAUGUGCAGAUGUUUAAGGGUGGUGCUGACUCCACACAGAGCCUCCUCCAUAUCUCUAAGCUACAGAAGAACUUUAAAAAUACACCAUAAACACGGCUGACCCCUUUAGUCUUACUGGCACAGGCCAGAGUAAACACAAACCAAUUUUGUUGUUCUGAAAGGGCAUUUAAAUUGAAAGCUCGUGGCAGACAGAUGGCAUUUCGACUGAGUUUCACAGGUCCACCACCAUGGGGGUUUCGUAUCUGUGGAGGAAGAGACUUCAGGAGAAGCCUGACUGUCUCAAAGGUUUGUGAAGAUAGCCGGGCAGGUGAUGCUGGGAUGCAGGUGGGGGACAUCAUACUGGAGAUUAAUGGUCAGGAUACUGGAGCCAUGUUGAAUAUGGAGGCUCAGAACAAAAUUAAGACAUCUGAACAUCAGCUGUGGCUUCUAAUUGAAAGACCUGCAAAAACAGACGUCAUACAAUGCUGCGGUGAUCCAAGACUUCCUGUUCAUUCGGAGCCCUCAGUCCGGCCAAAACAACCCCAUGUGUCAGGACAGGGCAAGUCCAAGAGGUCAGUGCACCAGAACCAUACUGAGAUGUCUUCAAACAACAUCACGUGUUUCUCAUUGUUCAUGUGUUCAGAGCCCCACAGGAGAAAAACUACGGUGCAGAGCAGCUGAUGCAACACGAUAAGGAGUCCACUGCAGGACCUAACUCUGCAUCUGAUUAUAUCCAAACAGUGUCAUAUGAAUCGCAGACUACCAAGAAAAAGGUGAGUUUUAACUAUCCAGUAUGGAGCUAUGGGCCAGUUGAUCCUGAAGAGCUGAUGAGAAUCAAGCGAAGGCAAGUUCAACCUCAGCAGCCCAGACAGUCCAACACUUUCAGAAUACUACAGGAGGGACUAGAACGGACAUCACUGCCAUCUGGAGCGGUCCAGCUGAGUCAAAGGUUUCGCACUUGUGAGAGAUGUGGUUACAUCAUUGUGUAAG